rnacentral:tRNA from 1 species
ACUCCUAUAGUGUAGUGGUCAAUCAUUCCGGCCUUUGGAGCCGGAGACGGCGGUUCGAACCCGCCUAGGAGUA